ensembl:snRNA U6 U6 spliceosomal RNA
GCACUCUCUUCGGCAGCACAUAUACUAAAAUUGGAACAAUACAGAGAUUAGCAUGGCCCCUGCACAAAUAUGACACCCAAAUUUGUAAAGUGUUCCAUACUUUU